rnacentral:rRNA from 1 species
GUCCUGGCAAUAAACGGUGCGCGUUUGGUGUGGGAGGAUUCGACCCUUCCGUGCCGGAGCUAACGCGUUAAACGCGCCGCCUGGGAGUACGGUCGCAAGAUUAAACUCAAAGAAAUUGACUGGGCCCGCACAAGCGGUGGAGUAUGUGGCUUAAUUCGAUGCAACGCGAAGAACCUUACCUGGGCUUGACAUGCAUCUCUAAGUCGAUGAAAGUUGACGAGUGUAGCAAUACACAAUUUGCACAGGUGCUGCAUGGCUGUCGU